CAAUCGCCAUCAGAUCUUUAGAGAGUGAAAUUCCAACGUUGCCUUCCUUGUCUUCUUCCUCGAACACGCACCUAUACGCCUUGUCAUCUGCUCCCUUGUGUGUCCUUACUACGUGGACCAAUCGGUAUUUUGCGCGGCGGUGCUCGGACCUCCUGUUUGAUAAAAGCAAGGCGGCGCCGCCCAUCCGGAAGAGGCAGUUAGGGAGGAGCAUCGCCCUCUCGUUGCCUUGGUAAUAGUUCGGGGUGAUGAUCUCGGUGCUGACGACCACCGCGUUGGAAUUGGGAUGCACCUGGAGGAGGUCGCGCGCCAAAUCGAUUGAAAUGAGGCCGGCGCUGCAGCCCAUGCCGGAGAGGUUGAAGCUCUUGAUGUUGCUUCGGAGCUUGUACUUGUUGAUCACCAUCGCCGAGAGCGACGGCGUCGGCGAGAAGAGGCUACAGUUAACAAUGAGAAUAUCGAUGUCUUUGGGCUUGAGCCCAGUCUUCUCGAACAGAGAGUCCAUGGCGGAGAAGAUGACGAGCUCCGCCUCGCCCCUAGCGGCCUCCAUGGUGGGGUUGGGCGGAAUAUAGUGAAUCGCCGGAGGGAGGCAGGUCUCCUCCCCGAGGCCCGAGCGCUCGAGGAUCCUCAUCUGGAACUCGACGCUCUUGGGGUUGUUGCUGAGGUUGAGGCGGGAGUGCUCCAUGAAGGUGGAGAAGGGGACGCGGCAGGUGACUGGAGGCUUGAAACAGGCGUAGUCGACGAGGUAGAUGGAGCGGGGUUUGGACAUAAAGUAGACGGUGGCGAUGAAGAUGAUGAGGAAUGAGGAGCAGAGGAUUUGGACGAGAUCGAAGUGAAGUGAGUCCCAGAGCUUGAGAAGCUCGUCGGGGCCGAGGCGGAUGACCUCCAGUAGGAUUCCGGCCAUGAUGAGGAUGAGAGUGAGGGUAAGAAUGUGGUUGACGAGGUACUGGUAGCCGAGCUUGACAUACUUGAGCUUGACGG
rnacentral:lncRNA from 1 species